UUCCUCUGACCCAUUAUUGCAGACUUAAAAACAAGCAUGUUUUCAAAUGGCGCUAUGAGCCGCCAAUGAUGUAUCACCAUCAUAUCUCAUUAUUCUCCACUAAAUGUGAUAAUAAUGUGAUCUGUUCACAUAAAAAAAAGUUUGACUUCACAAAAGCAGCUGGAAAUGGACAACCACAAUAUGCAUAAAUCUAACUCCUACCAUCAGCUACACACUGCUUGACACAUAUUGUUAGAAGCACCUCGCAUUUGCGAGUUCUCUUAAGCAAAAUACUUGCAUUAGGUCUCAGCUGGGGCUGUGCAUCAGGCGGUUUGGAGGAAUAUUCAAUUCUCAGCGGAGGCCAGAAUUUGAAUCCUCUCAUAUUUUAGGAAUCAUUUACUAGGUUUGGAGAGAAUUCAGGCAGCUCAGGUG
ensembl:misc_RNA